CUUCUCCUUUCGCCUUUCCCCCUUUCACGACGAGCCUUCUUGCGUGCUCUUGGUGGAUGGACUUCAAGCCUUCUCCCAGUGGGCACCGCAGAGGUCUUGUUACAAUGGCUGGAGCAAGCUAUCGAGUGAGAGGAUCGUCGAGGGAGGGACGAGCUACUAGAGCAGAGAGGCGACUAGCUCGGUUUGAGGCCAAUCAGCCGCUCGUUUCUGAUGGCAGAGUCAUAGUUGGGGCUAGUGGUGUGCAAGCUAACGCUUCUGCUUCUUCUCAGCGGAAAGUGGUGCACAGGAACCGAAAGUGCGGUUUGAUCCCAUCAACGAACAUGCGCCUUAACUUUAAAUCAUCUUCAGAGCCUGCUGAUCUUCAACAUGAUGGGAUGGAGAAUAAGAUCGAUAAAUCAGAAGAUUUCACUUCAGAGCUGGAGAGUCUGGUGGAUCUACCUCAGCUAUCUCCCAGUUCGUUUUCUCAAGGUGUUCGUCGUGAGGAGGACGAAGCGUUUAGCCGGUGUGCAGACUUCACCAAAGGGAUCGAGAUAAUCGUGGAGCUAUCCCACCUGCCGCCCUCCAACUUGUCGUUGCAAGCUGGCGAUUAUGAUUAGGGUGAGGCAAUCGGCGAUGGCCAAGACUUCGCCGACGGGCUGGAGCCCAUCGUAGAUCUCCCUGACGUAAAUGAUAACUUCAUUGACGUUGAAACCUCCGCUUCAAAUAAGACUGCGACGGGAAAAAGCGAAAGUGGUGCUGCAAGAGAGUUGAUCCAUUUUUUGUUCUGUUCAGGAGGACAGCCUGCAGUGCGUAGGUUAGUCUCAAUUGUUCGCCGCCAGAACUCUAAGUUGUGGGUGAUGUGUUGUGGGUAGAUUAUGUGAAGAAACUGAAAAGUCAUUGAAGCAGGCCAAAAAAUAAUUAAAAUUGAAUUUAAAAAAUAAAUAAAUGGAUGUGACAUUGCACGAGUGGUACUUUUAGAGUUCAGGGGUUGAGGGGUCACGGAGAAGGCGCAGAGCACAAAUGGCGUUGACAGAAUCCCUUACAGCUGGGGAAAGUUUUUAGCGAACUAUUUUGAACCUUCAGCAGCAGCACCUGCAGCGAUAGAAAGUUGUCAAUGGAAAGCAUCACAAGCUGCUUUUGUUGUUCACAGUCAAGCACCAAAGAAGACAGGUUAAUCAAGGAUUUUGUACUCAAAUUACAGCUAAUUGGUAAGCAUUCUACUCAGAUGACGUAUCUAAGUUCUUUCCCUCUUUUUCACUUUGAGUAGGCUUGGUUGGGAACAUUAUAAGCUCUCAGGCCUCAGCGUAUAAGUAUGUAUAUAUAUAUAUAUAUAUACAUAUUUAUUUAUUCAUAGUUACUUCAAUAUCAUGACUAUGCGAUGUUUUUUGAAAGAGAAUUGAUUUUUUACACAGACCUAGACUCGCCACUUUGUUCUUGUGCUUUUUGGAGGUCGUUCUCAGAUUCGACGUCUUGCAGAUUGUGGACGAAUAACUUUUAUGUAAAACGAUUGAAUUCUGUCUAUAUUUUCAGGUUAACGUGUUUGAUUUUGCUGGAUGAGACGAAAUGAAUGAAACACUCUACAUCGAUUGUGUUUGAGUGUAAUGAUUUCAUCAGUAGAUAUUUUUGCACCUGUCAUGCCAUGCCUCCUGCUGAUUGAAAAGACCAGGUAAAAUUUCAGUCUUAGGCGGAGUUUUCUCAGCUAAAUAAUUACUAUUUAUCUAAAAUAAUUUUAAACUUGAGAAAAUUAAGAAUACUAUCACCAGUACUAGUGAGCACUAACGCUUGCCCGGAAUGUUCAUCCAGUGAGCACUAUUUACCAUGGUGGAUUCGUUUUCCUUUACAGUUUCUAGUACAGAAUGCCGAGACACCAGCGACCCAGCUGAGAAAGCAGCAAUAGAUAGUAGAUUUACCGCAAAAGGUCGAGAUUGGUGGAUUCCUCAUUGCGAUUGAAUACGUAUGGUUCCCACUGGCACCCGCCUCACUUGGACUUGGAGCCUGAAGAAGUCGAGGAUGACGUUCCAGAGCGCUCCAUACUCUAAGGCCGAUAAUGGAGAUCCCUUAGAUGCAGGUCUGAGGAGAGGAAAGACAUUCAAGUCGUUUAAAUCAACACAAAUAGGAGAAGGACCAAAUGCAGAAGCUUUUGAUUGGUUCUGCAGAUUCAGAUGAACCCAAGAUGAGGAAGAAAGGGGAUGGAUGUGGAACCAUGCAGAAGAAGAAGACGAUGGGAAACGGAAUGGCCGAGAAAACGACGAGUGGAUCUUGUGACGAAGUGGGUAACGAUGUGAAAGGGAUCGCGGAAAUUUUUAAGUCGAAUAGAUUUGGAAUAAUAGGUUCGAUCCUUCCGUAAUUUCCGGGAUAUGCGUAGUUACGUGUAAUUCUACCUGUUUUAUAUGCGGGAUAAACAUUAGAGUUGAAUUUGUGAAACAAUGGAUAUGCCUUGGUUGAAGGAUAUCAGGCCGUUGCUAAAGACCAAAACGAUGAGCAUGACGUAAUUGCACAUGAAGACAGGGAAUGUUUGUACGAAAUUGAAGAUGGGGUGCUGUGAACAAGCGUGGUGUCUCGGGCAGUAGAUCUGCAGAGGAAGGAUUCUGCUACUAUAAAAGUUUCGGCCAAACUGAGGGCCACAGAAGGAUAAUGGAGCAGACGUCAUUCGACUGCCACCAUGAAUGUGUUUGAGAUGAAUCCACACCGAAACUGUCGAUUCCCCAUCGCAUUGGCUGAAGUGAUGUACUAAUAUUUCUUGCAUCUUUCAAUGACAAUACUGUGAUCUAAUGUUUCUUACCUCUAAUGAAAACACCUGAUUGAUGGAAUUAAGGUAAUGUUGAAAACCUUCA